GUGCUUGCUUCGGCAGCUCAUAUACCAAAAUUAGAGCGAUACAGAGAAGAUUAGCAUGGCCCCUGCGCAAAGACGACAUGCAAAUUCAUGAAGCGUUCCAUAUUUUU